AUUGAACGCUGGCGGCAGGCCUAACACAUGCAAGUCGAGCGAGCGGCGGACGGGUGAGUAAUGUCUGGGAAACUGCCUGAUGGCGGGGGAUAACUACUGGAAACGGUAGCUAAUACCGCAUACCAUCAGAUGUGCCCAGAUGGGAUUAGCUAGUAGGUGGGGUAACGGCUCACCAAGGCGACGAUCCCUAGCUGGUUUGAGAGGAUGACCAGCCACACUGGGACGGAGACACGGGCCAGACUCCUACGGGAGGCAGCAGUGGGGAAUAUUGCACAAUGGGGGAAAGCCUGAGGCAGCCAUGCCGCGUGUGUGAAGAAGGCCUUCGGGUUGUAAAGCACUUUCGGCAGGGAGGCGUUACCUGCAGAAGAAGCACCGGCUAACUCCGUGCCAGCAGCCGCGGUAAUUC
rnacentral:rRNA from 1 species